UUGUGUUUCCCCAUAGCAUUCCAGGAAGUUUCCCUGUAUCACAGAACCUACGAUGGUUAGGCCUUUUCCUGCCUUCAGCUGUGAGGCAAAGGAGGCGGGGAGCUCCAGUCAGGGACUGAAGUCCUGCACCCACUGUGGAGAAGAAUGAGCCAAUCACAAUGACCCAAGGAGAAGGCCAAGACAGUGUGCCAACCACCAAGUUUUUUCUGACUGCAUCUCCAAAUCUAAAAGACAUAUGCAAGAACACAUAAGACACAACAUGCUUGUUUCCAUCUAAAAGUGUCUAUUUGCUCGCUCUAGAGAUAGAUAACUUACUUAUCUCUCAGCACCGCACCUUCAAUACAGGCCCCAAAUAGAACCACAGAGCUGAAAUCUGUCAAAUGAGUCAUGGAAUUCUAUGUAACUUUGAAUGCAAAAUAGGACUGCUCACACUUUGUAUAACAGUUUGUUUGAAAAGAAAAAGAAAACAUACAGUUGAUAAGAGUAUUAGUUAGAAGGGUUAUUUAAAACAUAUUAUCAGUACCAACAGCAAUAAAGGAUACAGACAAGAGACGUAGUUGUAAUGGCCAGAAUCGUCCCUAUUGGUAUAGACUUCUGUGCGUCUCUUAGAUCUCCAGAUCUGUUCGAUCCUGCCAUAAUGCCUGUCGCAGA